rnacentral:rRNA from 1 species
GCGGUGGAGCAUGUGGCUUAAUUCGAGGCUACGCGAAGAACCUUAUCCUAGACUUGACAUGUGCGAAAGCGUCUGCAGGUAGAACCCGGAAACGGGAACGAACGGUAUCCAAUCCGGAAGCAGAUACAGGUGCUGCAUGGCUGUCGUCAGCUCGUGUCGUGAGAUGUUCGGUUAAGUCCGCUAACGAGCGCAACCCUCGCUGUAUGUUACAUGUGUCAUACAGGACCGCCGGUAUCAAGCCGGAGGAAGGUGGGGAUGACGUCAAGUCCGCAUGGCCUUUAUGUCCGGGGCUACACACACGCUACAAUGGUCGGUACAAUGGGUUGCUAAGCCGCGAGGUGGAGCCAAUCCCCCAAAGCCGGCCUCAGUUCAGAUUGCAGGCUGCAACUCGCCUGCAUGAAGCUGGAGUUGCUAGUAAACGCGCGUCAGCUAUAGUGCGUUGAAUACGUUCUCGGGCCUU